UCGAUUCCCUUAGUAGCGGCGAGCGAAACGGGAAGAGCCCAAACCAACAAGCUUGCUUGUUGGGGUUGUAGGACACUCUAUACGGAGUUACAAAGGACGACAUUAGACGAAUCAUCUGGAAAGAUGAAUCAAAGAAGGUAAUAAUCCUGUAGUCGAAAAUGUUGUCUCUCUUGAGUGGAUCCUGAGUACGACGGAGCACGUGAAAUUCCGUCGGAAUCUGGGAGGACCAUCUCCUAAGGCUAAAUACUCUCUAGUGACCGAUAGUGAACCAGUACCGUGAGGGAAAGGUGAAAAGCACCCCGGAAGGGGAGUGAAAUAGAACCUGAAACCGUGUGCUUACAAGUAGUCAGAGCCCGUUAAUGGGUGAUGGCGUGCCUUUUGUAGAAUGAACCGGCGAGUUACGAUUUGAUGCAAGGUUAAGCAGUAAAUGUGGAGCCGUAGCGAAAGCGAGUCUGAAUAGGGCGUUUAGUAUUUGGUCGUAGACCCGAAACCAGGUGAUCUACCCUUGGUCAGGUUGAAGUUCAGGUAACACUGAAUGGAGGACCGAACCGACUUACGUUGAAAAGUGAGCGGAUGAACUGAGGGUAGCGGAGAAAUUCCAAUCGAACCUGGAGAUAGCUGGUUCUCUCCGAAAUAGCUUUAGGGCUAGCCUCAAGUGAUGAUUAUUGGAGGUAGAGCACUGUUUGGACGAGGGGCCCCUCUCGGGUUACCGAAUUCAGACAAACUCCGAAUGCCAAUUAAUUUAACUUGGGAGUCAGAACAUGGGUGAUAAGGUCCGUGUUCGAAAGGGAAACAGCCCAGACCACCAGCUAAGGUCCCAAAAUAUAUGUUAAGUGGAAAAGGAUGUGGCGUUGCCCAGACAACUAGGAUGUUGGCUUAGAAGCAGCCAUCAUUUAAAGAGUGCGUAAUAGCUCACUAGUCGAGUGACACUGCGCCGAAAAUGUACCGGGGCUAAACAUAUUACCGAAGCUGUGGAUUGUCCUUUGGACAAUGGUAGGAGAGCGUUCUAAGGGCGUUGAAGCA
rnacentral:rRNA from 1 species